AAGAACUCUUCUACCGCCUGCUGGGAAUCGGGCCUUUCGCCGGAGAGCGGGGCUAGGGCGCCGAGCCCGUUUGCUGUGUGAAGUGAGUCGGCAGCGAGCGGGGCCCACGGAGCUGUGACGGGGAUAGAUGUGUCCGGGAGGACUGCGCACUGACACAGUACGUGAGCUUUGUGCACAGAGGCUGCUGGUGCUGUGGUCUGACUAUUCAGUAGCAGAGCUGCUUGGGCGAAGUUCCAGCUUUUGAUUUGCUUACAGUCAAGUGGAGGAGACAAGUCAGUGAUUGUAGUACGGCCACUGAAAUAUUCUAAAAGACAUGUAUCUGCAGGUUGCAACUGGACGUGGCCUCGAGGUAAAUCCAGCCCCUCGUUGAAAUUUUGUUUCAGCAGAUCAUUCAUAAUAUUCUAAGGAAUUGGAAUAUUUUCCAGAAAAGCGAAAGUUUUGUGUAGUUCUGGUUUGAAAUUAUUUUUUUUCCUGUUUAUAGCAGAAAGGUGCUUAAGCAAAGGUUCUUUCUGCUGAAUUAUGAUGAUGCUGGCAUGUAGUCAUCCGCCUUAUUUAAUCAAGUGGGUUAUAGUUUUAAAUUUAGUGGAUUUUAAUGCCAAAGCCAAUUCUAGAUCAAAGCCAAUUCUAGAACCGUUUCCCUUGGUUGAAUAAAAUUUUAUUAAAACCA